rnacentral:tRNA from 1 species
GGGCGGUUAGCUCAGUGGUAGAGCACUGCCUUCACACGGCAGGGGUCACUGGUUCGAACCCAGUACUGCCCACCA